GCAACAACCUUGAUAAGAAGUGGCUUCCAAGACCACGCUGACAUGCAUUCAUGCUGUCCAGAGUUCCUGCAGCGCUGCAUUCCUUCUCAUCAGUGACACUUUUUGGGAAUCAUCCCUAAAUGCUUUCCUGGAGUUCCAGAACUGGAGCCCUGAACUUCCCAACUCCUUCAUCUCAGAGGAGGAAGAGACGCCAAGGAUGGCGGAGAGGCCUUUGUCCAAGCUGAGGUCCUGGAAACAUCCCCCUCCUCGCCCACAUACAGGCACCGGACCACAGAACCAAUGAUGCACUCUGCUGAUGUGUGAUGGACUUCAUGUGACGAUGAAGAACCUUGAUGAAAUACCAGGUUCUUUUGAAGUGGAUGGAGUGGUGAUCUAUGAUGUUGACACACUCAGAUCAGUAAGCGUCCUCUGGAUGUGUAGUCCUUCUUUGACUACACUCAACAAAAACAGACAAAAGGAAACCAGUCUGACCAGGAGGACCCUGCCUCCUUCAUGAGUAUCUAUGGGAUGACUGCCUGGACUAGGAGGGCAUGGUUGCUUCUUUUUAACAAGGCCAGACGUCCACUCUGGUUUCCCAGCAGGCCAAAUGUACUGUUGCAGUAACUGUGUGCACUUAGAAAAAGAGAGUAGCAUUAAAAAUGGCAGCAUGAACUGGGCAUGCAGGCUUGUUCAACCCUUUAAAACUUCUUUGUUUAACUCUUAAAUUUAAAGUUGUGUCACAGGAAUAGAACAUCUGUGGGAUAUUAGAGGUCAGUAAGUGGGUAAAAACUGGU